rnacentral:lncRNA from 1 species
UGAAGUAGAAACCCUAAGACCUUGAAGUUGAGCUGUUUCAUGAGCGGUGGACUUGAGGGAUUGGAGGGAUUUGGAGGAUGAAGCGACCAAGUCAUCAAUUUUGCGCAGUUGAAGAGGGAUCUCUGAGUCACAUAUUGAGCUCACCGACAAUUCCAUCCUCUUGUUUCUUCUCUCUUUUUACUCUUCCCCACGAAUGCUUUUCAGCAAGGCUGCGAGAAAUAAAAAAAAAUGACAUAAACUAUGCAUUGAAUAAUAAACCACUCCAAUUUCACAAAGUUACAAAAGUUUCCAAAUUCAAUUUCCAUCAUUCCCUCGAAAAGGUGGAAUGCAUCAAAAAAGCAGAACCGUGCAAUCUAAUAGCCAAUGAUAGUACAAGAUUCAAACUUUAACCAAUUCUAAGUUUCUAACAACAAGAAACCACACACAGACACGGAAGGACAAAAAUAAACUGAAGAAGCAGUGCUUACGGGCGGCGAGGGAGAAAUGGAGGUGACAGCGAGGAGAACACGGCCGAGCAGAGAGAGACACGUUCGCAGUGAACCGGUGAGACAGAGUGAGGUCGGAGAGAGAGAGAGAGAGAGAUCGAAGAGAGAGCGCGCGCUUAAAGAAAAUCAAACAAAGACGAGGAGAAUAGGCUCGAAGAGAGAGAGCGCGCUUAAAAACCAAGGUUGUGACUUG